rnacentral:rRNA from 1 species
GACGAACGCUGGCGGCGUGCUUAACACAUGCAAGUCGAACGGAAAGGCCCUGCUUUUGUGGGGUGCUCGAGUGGCGAACGGGUGAGUAACACGUGAGUAACCUGCCCUUGACUUUGGGAUAACUUCAGGAAACUGGGGCUAAUACCGGAUAGGAGCUCCUGCUGCAUGGUGGGGGUUGGAAAGUUUCGGCGGUUGGGGAUGGACUCGCGGCGUAUCAGCUUGUUGGUGGGGUAGUGGCUUACCAAGGCUUUGACGGGUAGCCGGCCUGAGAGGUUGACCGGCGACAUGGCGACUGAGAUACGGCCCAGACUGCUACGGGGGGCAGCAGGGGGGAAUAUUGCACAAUGGGCGGAAGCGUGAUGCAGCAACGCCGCGUGCGGGAUGACGUCCUUCGGGUUGUAAACCGCUUUCGACGGUGACGAAGCGUGAGUGACGGUAAUGGGUAAAGAAGCACCGGCUAACUACGUG